UGGUUCUAAAAUCACUUGGAAGACUUGCUAGGCAUGCAAAUUUCUAGACCUUAUCCUGUACCUAUCAAAUUAUAUCUCUGGGUGUGAGGCGUGGGAAUCUGCAUUUUCCAAGCAAAUUAUUCACACUUUGAGAAACACUGCUUUGUUAUCGCCAAACUAGUUCCUUACAUCCAAAUGGUGCUUGUUUCUAGGCUAAAAUUUAUUAUUAUUUUGUCUUUUUAGGGCCACACCUGCAGCAUACAGAGGUUCUCAGGCUAGGUGUCUAAUUGGAGCUGUAGCUGCCAGCCUAGGCCACAGCCACAGCAAGGCCAGAUCUGAGUCUUGUCUGCGACCUAUACCACAGAUCACGGCCGCACUGGAUCCUUAACCCACUGAGCAAGGCCAGGAAUCGAACCCAUGUCCUCAUGGACACUAGUCAGGUUCGUUAACCACUGAGCCACUAUGGGAACUACCCCCCGCCCCCCGUGGCUUAUGGAAGUUCCUGGGCGAUGGAUAGAAUCUGAGCCACAGCUGUGACCUGUGCCACAGCUGCAAUAAUGCUGGGUUUUUAACCCCUGGGCCUGGCUGGGGUUAAAACCUCAGCCACUGCAGAGACAACGCCAGAUCCUUAACCUGCUGCAUCACAGCAGAAGCUUCUAAUGUAUGUAUUCUUUCAAACAAUCCAUGCCAGAUCCUGAACUAGGUGCUAGGGAUACAAAGAUGAGUAAAACUAGACAUGGUCUUCUUUCUGGUGGAGCUUAGGAUCUAGUGGAGGAUACAGGCAUUGACCAGGGACUCACAAAUAUAAAAUUAAAUGCAUAGCAUGGCGUGUAUGCUAUAACGGGAAAACUUGUGAUGUACUAAAAAUGUGUUAGAGGGACUUGACUUAGUAUAGGGAGUUAUGUACCCAGCGAAAGUGUCCUUUGAAAUAAGAUCUAAAAAAGAUAAGUGGAGUCAAUUAAGCUAAGUCAGAUAGGGAGCAGUAGAGGGGGUAAGAAAGGCAGAAUUUUCUGGACAAAGAAUAUGAUAUUGCAAAAGUCCUAUAAUGAGAGACUUAGGCAAGUGUUUUGGGGCAAGAGGAAGCAGAGUUUGAGAUGCAGCCUGGGAGGAAACAAGGGGCCAGCCCAUGAGAGUCUUUGAAAGUCGUGUUGGGAGUCCAUUUAUAUCUUAAGAACAAUGGGAUUUCAUUUUGAGUUGAAAUUAGAUAACAUGGUCAAUUUUACAUUUUGAAAAGGUCACUCUGGCUGCUGUGGAGAAAGAUUGAGGGCAGCAACCCUGGAAGUGUUGUCAUCCUUCUUAUUUUAUUGGUAAGGAAGUGAGCCUUGGAGUUCUUGUCAUGGCUCAGUGGAAACGAAUCUGACUAGCAUCCAUGAGGACGGAGAUUCCAUCCCUGGCCUCGCUCAGUGGGUUAAAGACCUGGCAUUGCUGUGAGCUGUGGUGUAGGUUGCAGGUGCAGUUUGGAUCUGAUGUGGCUGUGGCUGUGGCAAAGGCCGAUGGCUACAGCUCUAAUUCAACCCCUAGCCUGGGAACCUCCAUAUACCA
rnacentral:lncRNA from 1 species